UACAGCCAUACCACAUUGAAACACCAGUUCCUGUAUGAUCACAGAAGUUAAGCAAUGUUGAGCCUGGUCAGUACCUACAUGGGUGACCACUUGGGAAUACGAGGUGCUGUAAG